rnacentral:rRNA from 1 species
CCCCUACGGGACGCAGCAGUGAGGAAUAUUGGUCAAUGGGCUUACGCCUGAACCAGCCAAGUCGCGUGAGGGAAGACUGCCCUAUGGGUUGUAAACCUCUUUUGUCAGGGAGCAACGCCGGCUACGUGUAGCCGGACUGAGAGUACCUGAAGAAAAAGCAUCGGCUAACUCCGUGCCAGCAGCCGCGGUAAUACGGAGGAUGCGAGCGUUAUCCGGAUUUAUUGGGUUUAAAGGGUGCGCAGGCGGAUUUUUAAGUCAGCGGUCAAAUCGUGGGGCUCAACCCCGUCCAGCCGUUGAAACUGGGG